CACGGAGGCCCCGAGCGUUGUUCGGAAUUACUGGGCGUAAAGAGUAUGUAGGCGGCGGAGUAAGUCAGAUGUGAAAUCCCGGGGCUCAACCUCGGAACUGCAUUUGAUACUGCUUUGCUUGAGGGUUGGAGAGGAGUCUGGAAUUCACGGUGUAGCAGUGAAAUGCGUGGAUAUCGUGAGGAAGGCCAAAGGCGAAGGCAGGACUCUGGACAACACCUGACGCUGAGAUACGAAGGCCAGGGUAGCGAAAAGG
rnacentral:rRNA from 1 species